GAUGAACGCUGGCGGCGUGCCUAAUACAUGCAAGUCGAGCGAACGGACGAGAAGCUUGCUUCUCUGAUGUUAGCGGCGGACGGGUGAGUAACACGUAGAUAACCUACCUAUCAGACUGGGAUAACUUCGGGAAACCGGAGCUAAUACCGGAUAAUAUUUUGAACCGCAUGGUUCAAAAGUAAAAGACGGUCUUGCUGUCACUUAUAGAGGGACCCGCGCUGCAUUAGCUAGUUGGUAAGGUAACGGCUUACCAAGGCAACGAUGCAUAGCCAACCUGAGAGGGUGAUCGGCCACACUGGAACUGAGACACGGUCCAGACGCCUACGGGAGGCAGCAGUAGGGAAUCUUCCGCAAUGGGCGAAAGCCUGACGGAGCAACGCCGCGUGAGUGAUGAAGGUCUUCGGAUCGUAAAACUCUGUUAUUAGGGAAGAACAUAUGUGUAAGUAACUGUGCACAUCUUGACGGUACCUAAUCAGAAAGCCACGGCUAACUACGU
rnacentral:rRNA from 1 species